rnacentral:rRNA from 1 species
GUGGGGAAUCUUCCGCAAUGGACGAAAGUCUGACGGAGCAACGCCGCGUGAGUGAUGAAGGUCUUCGGAUUGUAAAGCUCUGUUAAUCGGGACGAAAGAGCCUAGUGUGAAUAAUGCUAGGAAGUGACGGUACCGGAAUAGAAAGCCACGGCUAACUACGUGCCAGCAGCCGCGGUAAUACGUAGGUGGCAAGCGUUGUCCGGAAUUAUUGGGCGUAAAGCGCGCGCAGGCGGAUCUGCCAGUCUGUCUUAAAAGUUCGGGGCUUAACCCCGUGAUGGGAUGGAAACUACAGAUCUAGAGUAGCGGAGAGGAAAGUGGAAGUCCUAGUGUAGCGGUGAAAUGCGUAGAUAUUAGGAAGAACACCAGUGGCGAAGGCGACUUUCUGGACGAAAACUGACGCUGAGGCGCGAAAGCCAGGGGAGCGAACGGGAUUAGAAACCCCUGUAGUCC